rnacentral:rRNA from 1 species
AUGUGCGGCCAUUUGCUUCGAACUCCACUAGUGGUGAUUCCCCAUUGGCUAACUUUGCAAAGAGAGGUGAUGCUGGAGAAAAUUGAUGUCAUUGCAAGAUCCAGGCAUCCCAAAAUACACAUGCCAAAUCCAUGUCUCCUAAUCGACAACGGCCUCAAGAAUUAUGGUGGCAUCUUUCUUGUGUCCUUUGAACUACCAUGCCAUGCUAUAGAGAGAAGUUCUCUGACUUCCAGUGCAUGCAAUCAGUGGAUCCAAGCAAACCUGGAAACUCAAAGGCUUUGUUCAUCUCCAAAAGCAUCGACGUGCCUUCAGCAUUGGGUGCUCUCAAAUACUCUACCCUAAACACUUCAACCACCGCCUUUGCAAAUUUCUCGACAUAAAAGAUUAAAGUACUCUCUCCCAUUGGUAAGUUAUCAUCAACAAAAUCUGCUGAAACACCAUGCAGAAGUCACCUUCUGGAUGGUGUUGUGUCCAAGAUUUCCGGUGCAAUUCCUCCUCUGCUCGAAUGAUCGAUCAUGUUGCUUCACACAGUUGGCAAUGUGAAGGAACAAAUCCAGAGGCAUCGUAAAACGGUCGUGAAAGUAUAGCUCUCGAUAAACUGGAGUUGAACCAAAAUAGUUGCGCAUCAAUCUGUUGCUUAUCCCUCCGAAUCAACUAAUGCCCGAAAAUGGAACCACCAUGCUCCGGCCUCUUGUUCUUGUGCAUCAUCAAUAUCAAAACAAUGUAUUCAUUCCAUAUUCCUCUUUGGACGAGGAAUCAUCCCGCAGAGAGGGUUCAAAUGAACUCGUCUACAUACAAUAAUUUCCACUACAAUCUACUCAUUUGACCACAACAAGAAAGAGAGAAGCAAACAAAAUUUAGCUUGUAGGCAAUUCUUCGAAUACGAGUGUGAGGAGGAGGAAAUCGGAUGGUUGCAUGCUGGAGCUGAGGUGGUUGCCACGCCGGGUCGAAAUGGCCUCGUAGACGAUAGGAAGGGCGAGUUUGCGGACAAAAACAGUGACGCCGCGCUAUUGACGUCGGCCAAUGCAGCACAGCUGCCCCGCUCGGUUGCGGCGGCCGCAAGGUCAGCAUCGUCCGUUCGACGACCACUAACCCGUGUCUACGGCCAGCUGUGGGGCCGCGGCCGACCGCAUUCUGCCCGGAUCCGGCACGUCGGCAGAUCCCGGAUGGGCACGCUAGCGGGGCUGACGCGGCCGUCUGGAGCAGCAGGAUGGAGCAGGUUAGUCGCAGGCAGGCGGAACGGCAGUGGUGGCGUUGGUGGGCGAAAUCGAGCCGGCGGCUGUUGGGCAGAGGUGGGGCGCGGCGGGAUGAAUGUUUAGCGUGGCAGUUCAGUGUGUGCAGAGGACGUUUUUUGUUUUGCGGCAGCAUGCGUGUGCUGCAGAAUUACAACACUAGAGACUGUUUUUUCUUCCGGGCUGUCUCAAAAUGGUACAAAAAAGAAGAGAUAAAGACAAUUGUUGGACAGAUAUUGGCUUGUUAUUUUCUAUGUUUAUGGUUGUUUCUCGGCACCAUUGUACCGUGUCGUUGUUUUUAUGUGUGUUGUGGUGCUGUGCUGUACUGGUGAAUAUAAAGGCCUCACAAAUUUAAGCUGGGCGGUAGCCUUUUUCCAAAGAACGUUUUUUUUUGGACGGGUCGCUCUCUCCGGUCUAAACGUGUCACUGUUCAGUCAAUCUCUCCGGUCGCCUCUGCUAUUGUCCGUCCUCACGUGGCGCCACACCAAUUUCAACUAACCCCAUCCGCCCGUGGCCUUCAAGGAACUUGAGCGACAGUUCUUCAAUCCCCAUCAGAUCCGUGGCCUCCAAGGCGUUCCUGAGAGUGGAUCCUACGAAAGAGAAAGGGACUAAAGAAACAGCAAGUGUACAUUUCCGUAUGUGUGUGGCUGAGAGCAUCCCAUUUCGCUGGAGCUUAGAAUCUCUAGAGAUGUGCGCGCGCCCUUAUAAAACGCCGCUCGGUCUAAUCAAUUUGU